rnacentral:snoRNA from 1 species
ACCUGCAUCCGAAAGUGAGUGUGGGCUGCUUGUGCCAAGGUCAGUUGGUUGUUUGGGGAGAGGAAAGCUGAAAGAAGUUUUCCUCGCGCUUGGAGGGGCCGUUUGUCCCUUCCUGGAGCUUUCACACA